rnacentral:tRNA from 1 species
GGGCUAUUAGCUCAGGUGGUCAGAGCGCACCCCUGAUAAGGGUGAGGUCCCUGGUUCGAGUCCAGAAUGGCCCACUA